AUGAAUUCACUACGACCGUCUGGUCCUUUUAGUCAUCAGCAAGUCUGUAAAAGGAGUCGGUGAGAAACAGAAUCAGAGAGGCGGAAAGUGUGGGGGAGGGCUCGCGCAGGGAGAGCGAAAGGGACUGGUGUCUAAGUCUGGCAAGCAGACAGGCUACGGGGAAGGCGACCUGGUACCCGAGAAAAAGACGUUCGGAAAUGAGACGGUCCAAGUGCGGGACCGCGGCGGAGGCGGCGCGGAGUCCGGCGGGGCCAGCCUUUGUUGCUUUCCCACUUCCCCCGAAUUGUAAGCACAGGUUCCAUGCCCAGCAUGGAGCCCAGUGUGGAGUCCAACAUGGAGCCCAAUGUGGAGCCCAAUGUGGAACCCAACAUGGGGCUCGAACUCACAAGCCCGAGGUCAAGACCUGAACGGAGAUCAAGAGUUGGAUGCUUAACCAACUGAGCCACCCAGAGCUGUUGUUUGGAAGACGGUUGGCUGAAGUCCUCAACUAAAACCCUAAAUGGUGGAUUUUCCUGUGCUGUCAAUACUGAAGAAGUUGAGACUAGAGGAUCUCUAAGAACACUCCCAACUCUUAUAACCUACACUUUUUUAAUGAGCUUUAUGCCUUUUUUGCUUUUACCCCUGUUAUGUAGCCACCAGAUAAUAUUGCCCCCAGACCCUUUUCUCCUCCGGCUACUUCUUUAAGUCACUGUUCAACCUUUAACACUGAGGAACUUAGGAAGAAAGAGAAACUUUCAAAGUGGGAGAAUGAGAGCAAUUCAUUCACUGUUUAAUAAAUACUUACAGAUUUCUUACCAUGUGUUGGACUAACCACAAGUAGACAGACUAACCAAGUCAUCAUAAGCAUGACUAUAGAUAAAGAUCAGGAAGUUUCCCUGUAACAAAGGACUGAAGACCUGACCAAGGAGUCACAACAAGCUUCUCUCCGGAAGAACCAACACCUGAGCUGAGAUCUGAGGAGGAAUAGGGGUUACACAGUGAAAGAAGGUGGGUGAGCAAAAGCAUUCACAGGGGUCCUGUAGCAGGAGGAAGCACAGUGUGUUCAGGAGCUUGGAGGCAAGGGGAUACAUCAUCCCCUGAGAUAGUUAGGAGAAAACAGACAGGACUUGGUAAUGAUUUGGAUAACUGGCAAGAGUUCUCUCUCAUAUUACUUGCUACUCUCUUCCUCCCUCUUUCUUUCCUAGCAGAGAAUACUUCAGCCAGGCAUUGUUUUAGCACUAUGUAUUAACUCAACGAUAGCCCAAUGAGUAUGUGGUAGAAUACAUGAACUCAGGACCCUACUUGAAAAACCUCCUCUUAGACCUUUUCUGCCCCUCGUAUACUGAGCUAUCCUUAAGAUAGCAGACAGUUUUUGUAGGGACAAGCCCAGGGUUAUUUGAGAAAAGAAACAAACAAAAAAGAUAGGGGUAUGCAAAUGUGUUUUGCUCAUGCUGAGUCCCAAGGCAUGGGAUUUAGGGAGAAAACUACUGAAAACCACAACCUAUUCAUGUGUUAUUUAUUUAAUUGUGAUGUAUAGUAUUUAUCGAGUGCAUAUUGUACCAGGUACUGUUCUGAACACUUUCAAAUACUAGUUUAUUUAAUCUUCACACCUACAUUAUUAUUAUGGCCAUUUUACAAAUGAGAAAACCAAGAGAAAUCUCCAAAGAAGUACAGCUAUUAGCAGUAAUGGGAAGUGGGAGCAGAUCCCACCACGGGGCAGUCUGUCUUCCAAGGCCACACCCUUAAGCACUAGGCAUCACUUGCUCAUUUGCAUGACUGCCAAAGCCUUGCUACCUCCUAAAAUUAUUCUCUGCUUCCUUCUCUAAAAGACUGCCUUAUUUACAUUAGGGAAGAAAGAUCCUCAUGACAAACAUAGUCACUGAAUUAAGAGGAAAACAGGGAAACUCUGGUGGACCUCUCUGUAAGAACAAUGACUGAAAUUGCCUUUUCUUCAACAAAUGAGAAUAUGGAAGUCAUUUUGUGGCCAAUGAACAUAAAAUACUUAAGAUAUGCACCAAUCUACCAUGUAACUCUAGAUUCCUGAAAUUGGUAGUAUGAAAAUAGCUCCAAGGCUGCUUCUGAGCAGGGAUUAUAGUUAAUCCUACACCACUAAAGUAAUUACAGUAGAAAAAAGAAGGACUAUUUUCAAUAAAGUUGCAGAAUUUCUCUGAUUUGCAUUAAGCAUUUGUCAUUUUCUUGGCAUAUGUUUUUCCUUUCAUCACCGAACUGUCUGAGAAACCACAUGUUUCAAGUCUGCCUCACUCUCAUUUGGGUUCAAAUCAAAUUCCACAGUGUUCUUUUGGAAGAAGGGGUUUCCCUGAAGUUGAAGAGUUUCCUCCACUUUUGUUGAGAUCUAAAGAAGCAGGAAUUUCAGUUCCUCUCAUCACUUUAAUCACUUUCUUGCUACUUUCUUCGUCGAUCUUACUCCCUUCUGGCAGAUAAAGCAUUUCUGUUGUGUUUUCUACGUGCCAACCACUGUUCUAAGCACUGUACACUUACUAACUCAACAACACCCUAUCAGUAUAUGGCAGAGUAUAUGGGUCUAAAUGCAGAGAGGUUGGAAGUCAGCGCAGUGAAAGCAUAUAAAAGAUCUCUUCUAAGUGCUUCUAGUCUCUCUGUAAAUGAGAAACAGACUAUACUCAUUUUACAGAUGAGGAACCUAAAGCACACAGAGAGCAAGCAGUUUGUUCAAGACCACAUAGCUGCAAAGUGGCAGAACCAUGAUUCAGAUCCUAGCAGUCUGACUGCAGAGUCCAUGACUCUUAGACUCACACGCUACCGCAAAACUCCUCCUUGGUUAAAUUCAACUCUGUACUUCCCCCUGCCUGUCCUUGGGAAGUUGAACAUAAUUGAACAAAAAUGAUCAUGCUGAUUGUUCUCCUUUCACAUUCAGGCCUUGGCAUAGCCCUAAAAGCCUGCUUUACUUUCCACGUCAGUUCAUUUGUGGAUCAUUUCAUACCUUCUCGCUCUUCAAACCUUUGCUGCCACUUCUCCAAUCUUCACUCUGCUGAGGACUUAUUUCCCAUUUCAUUGAGAAGAAAGAAACAAUCAGAAGAGAACUUCCAUGUGCUCCCACCAACACAUCUACUGAUCUACUUGCAUUGGGCCCCAUGGAUGCUGCCUGACCUUUUACUGUGGGUGAAUGUCUAUGCUCCUAUCUAAAUCCAAUAGCUUCUUAUUGUGCACUGAACCCCAUUUCCUUACCUUCUCUAGGAUUGGGUUCUUUCAAAUUUAUCCUCUUUACUGUAUCAAUUUUCAUACCUACUAAGUUAUUCCCAUCAGUAUAUAGAUACUCUAUAAUAUCUCCUAUAUUAAAAACAAAAGCAGACUUUCUGGGUUUCAGGUCGGGCCUGGAAAGAGGUAGGUAACUGGGGCACCUGGGAGGCUCAGUCAGUUAAGCAUCUGCCUUCUGCUCAGGUCAUGAUCUUGAGGUCCUGGGAUCCAGCAGUCUCCCUGCUCAGGGGGAAAUCUGCUUAUCCCUCUUCCUCCGGCCCCUCCUCCGCCCCUGCUCCCGCCCCCACCCCAUCAUGUGCCUGCAUGGCUCAUGCGCGUCCUCUCACUCUCUCUCUCUCAAAUAAAUAAAAUCUUUUUUUUUAAAGAGGUAGGGCGCCUGGGUGGCUCAGAUGGUUAAGCGUCUGCCUUCGGCUCAGGUCAUGAUCCCAGAGUCCUGGGAUCGAGUCCUACAUCGGGCUCCCUGCUCCUUGGGAGCCUGCUUCUCCCUCUGCCUCUCUCUCUCUCUCUCUCUGUCUCUCAUGAAUAAAUAAAUAAAAUCUUAAGGGGCGCCUGAGUGGCUCAGUUGGUUAAGCGACUGCCUUCGGCUCAGGUCAUGAUCCCAGGGUCCUGGGAUCGAGUCCCACAUCGGGCUCCCGGCUCAGCGGGGAGCCUGCUUCUCCCUCUAACCCUCUCCUCUCUCAUGCUGUUUCUCUCUCGCUCGCUCUCUAAUAAAUAAAUAAAUAAAAUCUUUUAAAAAAAAAAAGAGGUAGGUAAUUAUCAGUCUGUCCACAAAAUAAGUAAAAAGCUGAACAAAUUAAAAAAUCAAUAAUUUUUCUUAGAUCCACCAGAGAAGCAAGGUCAUAGGCAAACCACUGCCUCCAAAUUUGAGAGACAGACAGGCAAAUAUAGAAAGUAACAACUUACUGGAGCAGAAACCUGCAUAAGAACCAUUGUUGCAAUAGGAAAACCUGAAUUGUAAUUGAUGAAUUACUGGAGGCCCGGUAUGGACAAGUCUGAGAGUUAAAAACUCCAGAGAGACUCAGUCCUCAGAGCCCCCCACAAUUUUGUGAGUUUUAUCUCUAGAAACUUGACUUGGUUCUCACAGUGAGUAUCAGAGAAAAAUCUGUUUGUGCUUCUGGCAGGGGUAAGAGAAAAGAGACUAUUUUGCAAGACCAUUCUCUUUUUAACAAGGCCUGCCCACAAGAGAAACUAUUUUAUAACCUAAGAUACUGAGAUUUUAUCAGAAGGGAAAUACCCAGUUCCAGCUAGCUCUAGCCUUCUCCUCAAGCUGGGAGAAGAGAAGUAGCCCACUCCAGCCCCCAUUAGCCAUCCUGUCCCACGGAGGGGGCAGCAAACACUGAGAUGCAUUUGUGGAAUUCGCAAUUUAGAGUGACUUACAAAAGACUGAGACCUAAUAGGACUAUAGAACCCUUUCCCUGCCCCCACACCUUACUACCACAUUACUAAAGGCCUAUUUACCACAGUUAACUUUACCUAGUAUAUCAUGUCUGGCCAUCAAGGAAAAAUUUAAAAGCAUAUUAAAAGGCAAAAAAAUACUGUUUGAAGAGACAGCAUGUGUUAGAACUAGACUCAGAUAUCUUAGGGAUGUGGGAAUUAUCAGACCAGGAGCUUAAAGCAAUUACGUUUAACAUGCUAAGAGCUCUAAUGGAUAAAGCAGAUAGUAUGCAAAAAGAGAUGGGCAAUGUAAGCAGAGAGGUGGAAAUUCUAAGAAAGAAAAAAUAGAAAUACUAGAGAUCAAAAAAGCUGUAACAGAAAUGAAGAAUGCCUUCAAUGUGCUUAUUGGUAGACUGGAUACAGCUGAGAAAAGAAUCUCUGAGCUUGAGGAGAUCUUAAUGGAAACCUCCAAAACUGAAAAACAAAGAGAAAAAAAAAAAAGAUUGUAGGGAAGAAAACAAAACAGAGAACAAAAUAUCCAAGAACUGUGGGACAAUUAUAAAAGGUGGAAUCUAUACAUAAUGGGAAUACUAGAAGGAGGAGAAAAAGAUAAAUGAAAGAGAGAAUAUCACUACAGAUUUCACAGACAUUUAAAGGAUAAUUACACCCUUCGCAAAAACUCAAAAUGGAUUAUAGACCAAAAUGUAAAACACAAAAUCAUAAAACUCCUAGAAGAUAAUACAGGAGAAAACCUGGGUGACCUUAGGUAUGGUGAUGAUUUUUUAGAUACAACACCAAAGGCAUGACUCAUGAAAGAAAAAAUCGGUAAGGUGGACUUCAUUAAAAUUAAGCACUUCUACUUUGCAAAAGACAAUAUCAAGAGAAUGAGAAAACAAGGCUCAGGGUAGGAGAAAAUAUUUCCAAAACAUAUCUGAUAAAGGACUGUUUUCCAAAAUACACAAAGAAUACUUAAAACUCAACUAUAAGAAAAUCAAGAACGGCAUUAAAAACAGAGUCAAAGACCUGAACACUCAAUCAAAGAAAAUAUAGAUGGCAAAUAAGCAUAUAAAAAGAUGCUCAACAUCAUAUGUCACUAGGGAAUUGUGAAUUGAAAUAAUGAGAAGACACUAUACACCUCACAGAAUGGUCAAAAUCCAGAACAAAUACCAAAAGCUGGUGAGGAUGUGGAGGAAUAGGAAUUGUCAUUGCUGGUAGGAAUGCAAAAUGAUACUUUGGAAGACAGUUUGACUAUUUCUUACCACACUAAACAUAUCUUAUCAUAAUAUCCAGCAAUUAUACUCCUUGGUAUUUACUCAAACAAGUGGAAAAGUUAUACCCACACAAAAACUUGCACAUAAAGAUGUUUAUAGCAGCUUUAUUCAUAAUGGCCCAAAUGUGGAAGCAAUCAAGAUGUCCUUCAGUGGUACACCCAGACAAUGGAAUAUUACUCAGUGCUAUAAAGAAAUGAGUUACUGAGCCAUGAAAAGACACAGAGGAACUUUAAGUACAUAUUACUAAGUGAAAGAAGCCAACUGGGAAAGGCUACAUACUGUAUGAUUCUAACUAUGUGACCUUCUAAGAAAAGGCAAAACUAUGGAGACAAUAAAAAGAUCAGUUGUUUCGGGGGUGGGGAGGUGGGGUGGAGGUUGGGGAUAUGAAUAGGCAGAGUACAGAGGAUUUUUAGAGAAUUUGGUUCUGGGAAAGUCAAACUAUGGAGAAAGUAAAAGGAUCAAUGGUUGCUAGGGUUUGGGAGAGAAGAAGAUGAACAAGUGAGCAUAGGAUGUUUAGGUCAGUGAAUCUAUUAGGUAGGACACUAUAAUGGUGGAUAUGUGUCUAAGCCCAUACAAUGUACAAUACCAAGAGUAACCCCAAUGUAAACUAUGAACUUAGAGUGAUAAUGAAAUGUCAAUAUAGGUUCAUCAACUAUAAUAAAUGUACCAAUCUGAUGUGGGGUUUUGAUAGUUGGGAGGGCUCUAUAUGUGUGUCCUCAGUGGGUAUGUGGGAAACCUCUGGCCCUUCUGCUCAAUUUUGCCAUAAAGGGAAGCUCAUCUAAAAAAUAAAGUAAUUUAAAAACAAAGCAAAACAAAAACAAAACAAAUAGAAACAAAACAAAGAACCUCCCUGGACCUCACAUUCCCUUCCAGCUGCCACCUCACUUAUCUGCUCCCUUUUAGAGGAAAAUGCCUUACAAGAGCUGCCUGUGCUCACUAUUUCCCCUCUUCCCUUCUCUGGAAUCUAUUCGUACCCAGCUUUUGCCCUCACUACUGCACCAAAAUGUGAUGAGUUCUCAGUCCUCAUCUUCCUUGAAAUAUGAGUAGCUUUUGACACAGUGAUCAUUUCAGUUUUUUUGAUAGACUUACUUCACUUGGCUCCUGGGUUUAAUAUUCUCCUCCUUCCUUAUGGGCCACUCUUUCUUAAUCUCCUUUGCUAGUUUCCCCUCCUAUUCCUAAAUGCUAAUCACGGGAGUGGGCUGAGCUCACUUUGGUCUUCUUUUCUGUAUCUAUACUUACUCUCUUGGUGAUUUCAUCAAGACUCAUGGUUUUAAUUACUAUGGAUAACUGAGAAUGUCUCAAUUCAUAACACCCAAUUUAUGGGGCUGUGGGGAGAAUUAAGUAAGUUAAUAUCUACAAGGCACUUAAAUCUGUGUCUGGAACAGAGUAAGAACUUCUUAUAUAAUCAGCUAGAAACUUGCUAGCUGUCUAAUAGGCAUCAUAAAUGUUACAUAUUCAAAACCAAAUUUCCAAUUUUUCUCUUUUGGGUUCCCCCUCCUGUAGACUUUUCCAAACAUCAAUUACUUCCUAUCAUAUUCAUCAUCCAGUCUAUGAGAAAAUUUUGGUGGUUCUACCUUCAAAAUAUAUUCAGGACCCAACUCUUCCCAUUCUCAUCACUAUAUCCUUGCCCAAGGUACAAUCAUCACCUUCCACCUACUCUAUUGCAAAUUUACUGACCAGUCUCCCUGCUUUCUCUUAUCUCCCUUUGGUCUAGUUCAACACAGCAACCAAAGUGCUCCUCUUAAAAUGUAAGUCAGAUCAUGUCUCUCUUUUGUUCUAAAUCCUCCAAGGGCUGUACAUCUUACUCAGGGCAAAAGGUUAGAUUAAUUGGCCUUGUGCUCCUCUGAUUUCAUCUCUUAUCACUCUCUGUGUAGGUCACUCUAUACUUCAGCACAUUAGCCUCCUUGCUGUUUCCCAGCUAUACCAAAUAUAUUCCUCCCUCCAUUACUUUUGCAUUGGAUUUCCCUCUGCCUGGAAUAUCCUUCCUCCAGAUAAUCUGCUCAAAUGUCUGCUCAUCCCUUCUUGCCUUCUGUAGUAUCUCCCUCAAAAAAUUUUCCUCUCUCUUGCAGUAUCAUGGCCACCAGGAGAGGACCUAGCCUGUAGAUUAAGUUAAAACUUCAAAACCAUGUUCUUGAUGAUAUCUUUUGAGCAUCUAGAUCAAGCCUUGCCUAAUGACAGCUGUAACCUUGGACUGUUAUAUGAGGCAAACAUGCCCUUUAGAGCUUAUUACCAUUUCUGGCAAACAAUUUGGAAGGCAAUGGAUGUGAAAAAUAUCAUUAUUAGUAUAGUUUAAUCGUAAUUUAUUAUUGUUCAUAUUUUAAUGCGGUAGAAUUGCAUAAUGAUGAGUAUUAGCAAAAAGAAAAUUGAAUUUGUGUAAAUAAAGGAUGGAGAAAUGUAUUGCUUAAUCUUUUCUUCUAAGACAUUAUUAUGUUGUACAACAUGAAGAGAAAAGAGAAAAGACAGGGGAAGGAGACAAAGGGAAGGGAGCUGACAGCUAUAAAUUCUUAGGCCUUGUGCUAAGUGCUUCACAUGCAUUUUCUUCUUCAAAACUCAGCAUCCCCAGAGCAAACAUUUUCUUCCACACUCUACAGAUGAGGAAGGGCAUAAGGUUAAGGU